rnacentral:rRNA from 1 species
UAAGAUUAAGCUACUGUUUGGAGAUGAGCCCGCGUACCAUUAGCUAGUUGGUGAGGUAAAGGCUUACCAAGGCGACGAUGGUUAGCUGGUCUGAGAGGGUGAUCAGCCACACUGGAACUGACACACGGUCCAGACUCCUACGGGAGGCAGCAGUGAGGAAUUUUGCGCAAUGGGGGAAACCCUGACGCAGCAACGCCGCGUGAGUGAUGAAGGCCUUCGGGUCGUAAAGCUCUGUCAAGUGGGAAGAAGUUGGGAUGCACGAAUAGUGUAUUUCAUUGACGGUACCACUGGAGGAAGCACCGGCUAACUCCGUGCCAGCAGCCGCGGUAAUACGGAGGGUGCAAGCGUUAUUCGGAAUUAUUGGGCGGAAAGGGCGCGCAGGCGGCCCGCCAAGUCAGAUGUGAAAGCCCAUGGCUUAACCAUGGAAGUGCAUUUGAAACUGGAGGGCUUGAGUAUGGGAGAGGGAAGUGGAAUUCCUGGUGUAGCGGUGAAAUGCGUAGAUAUCAGGAGGAACACCGGUGGCGAAGGCGACUUCCUGGACCAAUACUGACGCUGAGGCGCGAAGGCGUGGGGAGCAAACAGGAUUAGAUACCCUGGUAGUCCACGCAGUAAACGGUGAUCACUAGGUGUAGCGGGUAUUGACCCCUGCUGUGCCGGAGUUAACGCAUUAAGUGAUCCGCCUGGGGAGUACGGCCGCAAGGUUAAAACUCAAAGGAAUUGACGGGGGCCCGUAUAAGCGGUGGAGCAUGUGGUUUAAUUUGAUGCAAUGUGAAGAAUUUUACCUGGAUUUGAUAUUCCGGGAAUCCCUAUGAAAGUAGGGAGUGCCCUUUGGGGAGCCUGGAGAUAGGUGCUGUAUGGCUGUUGUCAGCUCGUGUUGUGAGAUGUUGGGUUAAGUUUUGUAAUGAGUGUAAUCCCUAUCUUUAGUUAUUAGUGAUUUGGUUGGGGAUUUUGGAGAUAUUGCCCCGGUUAAUGGGGAGGAAGGUGGGGAUGACGUUAAGUUUUUAUGGCUUUUAUGUCCAGGGUUAUACACGUGCUACAAUGGGCUGUAUAGAGGGUAGCGAGCCUGUGAGGGUGAGCUAAUUCUAAAAAGCAGUCCUUAGUUUGGAUUGGAGUCUGUAAUUUGACUCCAUGAAGUUGGAAUUGUUAGUAAUUGUGGAUUAGUAUGUUGUGGUGAAUAUGUUCCCGGGCCUUGUACACACCGCCCGUCACACCAUGAGAGUUGAUUGUACCAGAAGUCGUUGGGCUAACCCGUAAGGGAGGCAGGCGCCUAAGGUAUGGUUGAUGAUUGGGGUGAAGUUGAAAUAAGGUA